CAAGACCUGCGCUUUUGGAGCGGCCGAUGCCUGAUUAGCUUGUUGGUAAGGUAAAAGCUUACCAAGGCUUCGAUCAGUAGCUGGUCUGAGAGGACGGCCAGCCACACUGGGACUGAGACACGGCCCAGACUCCUACGGGAGGCAGCAGUGGGGAAUUUUGGACAAUGGGGGCAACCCUGAUCCAGCCAUGCCGCGUGAGUGAAGAAGGCCUUCGGGUUGUAAAGCUCUUUCAGCCGGAACGAAACGGUUACGGUUAAUACCCGUGACUACUGACGGUACCGGAAGAAGAAGCACCGGCUAACUACGUGCCAGCAGCCGCGGUAAUACGUAGGGUGCGAGCGUUAAUCGGAAUUACUGGGCGUAAAGCGUGCGCAGGUGGUUUUGUAAGUCAGAUGUGAAAGCCCCGGGCUCAACCUGGGAACU
rnacentral:rRNA from 1 species